rnacentral:rRNA from 1 species
UAUCUGGUUGAUCCUGCCAGUAGUCAUAUGCUUGUCUCAAAGCUUAAGCCAUGCAAGUCUCAGUGCAAACUUAAUUAAAGUGAAACCGCGAAAAGCUCAUUAAAUCAGUUAUGGUUUACUGGCGCUUCAUUCCGUUAUGGAUAACUGUGGUAAUUCUAGAGCUAAUACAUGCAACACAUGUCCCGUCCAGUGAUGGUAAGGACGCUUUUAUUAGGUCAAAACCAAUCGGUUCGGGCUCGCCCCGUUCCGUUGUAAUUUGACGACUCUGGGUAACACACUAGAUCGCACGGUCUUUGUACCGGCGACGCACCUUUCAAAUGACUGACUUAUCAACUGUCGAUGGUAGAUUUUUUGUCUACCAUGGUUGUAACGGGUAACGGGGAAUCAGGGUUCGAUUCCGGAGAGGGAGCCUGAGAAACUGCUACCACAUCCAAGGAAGGCAGCAGGCACGCAAAUUACCCACUCCCGGCACGGGGAGGUAGUGACAAAAAAUAACGAUACGGGACUCAUCCGAGGCCCCGUAAUCGGAAUGAGUACACUUUAAAUCCUUUAACAAGGAUCCAUUGGAGGGCAAGUCUGGUGCCAGCAGCCGCGGUAACUCCAGCUCCAAUAGCGUAUAUUAAAGCUGUUGCGGUUAAAAAGCUCGUAGUUGGUUCUGUGUGCCACGCUGUCGGUUCACCGCCUGCCGGUGCAACUGACAUGCCGUGGGAUGUCUUGCCGGAGGGGGCCGGAACCCUUCCUUAUUGGUUGGGCUUAGGUCCUCGCAAUGCUGCCAGGGUGCUCUUCAUCGAGUGUCGGGGCAGGCCGGCAAGAUUACUUUGAACAAAUUAGAGUGCUUAAAGCGGGCCUAAUGUUGCCUAAAUAGUUGUGCAUGGAAUAAUGGAAUAGGACCUUGUUACUGUUUUGUUGGCUUUCGGUGAUCAAGGUAAUGAUCAAUGUGGACUGGCGGGGGGAUUCGUAUUUCGACGGUUGGGGGGAAAAUCUUUGGUCGUCGCCAAACGGAUCGUCGCAAGACGAACUAGAGCGAAAGCAUUUGCCAAGUAUGUCUUAGUUGAUCAAGAACGAAAGUUAGAGGUUCGAAGGCGAUCAGAUACCGCCCUAGUUCUAACCAUAAACGAUGUCGGCCAGCAAUCCGCCAAUGUUCCUCCGAUGACUCGGCGGGCAACCCCAGGGAAACCAAAGCUUUUGGGUUCCGGGGGAAGUAUGGUUGCAAAGCUGAAACUUAAAGGAAUUGACGGAAGGGCACCACCAGGAGUGGAGCCUGCGGCUUAAUUUGACUCAACACGGGAAACCUCACCAGGCCCAGACAUUGGAAGGAUUGACAGAUUGAUAGCUCUUUCUUGAUUCAAUGGGUAGUGGUGCAUGGCCGUUCUUAGUUGGUGGAACGAUUUGUCUGGUUAAUUCCGAUAACGAACGAGACUCUAGCCUAUUAACUAGGCGUCCGGUAUCUGGGGCUACCGGCGAAAUAGAAUCUUCUUAAAGGGAACCGAGGCGCUCAGCCUCACGAGAUUGAGCAAUAACAGGUCUGUGAUGCCCUCAGAUGGUCUGGGCCGCACGCGCGCUACACUGAUGGAAUCAGCGUGUCCCUCCCUGGCCGAAAGGCCCGGGUAACCCGCUGAAACUCCUUCGUGCUUGGAAUUGGGGCUUGCAAUUAUUCCCCAUGAACGAGGAAUUCCCAGUAAGCGCGAGUCAUAAGCUCGCGUUGAUUACGUCCCUGCCCUUUGUACACACCGCCCGUCGCUACUACCGAUUGAAUGAUUUAGUGAGGUCUUCGGACUGGUGACAAUUGGCUGCGCCUCGGUGUAGCCGGUGUUGCCGGAAAGAUGACCAAACUUGAUCAUUUAGAGGAAGUAAAAGUCGUAACAAGGUUUCCGUAGGUGAACCUGCGGAAGGAUCAUUACCGUACUGAAAAAAUACCCCUUGGUAUUUUGGAUUUCGGUGGUCCUUAGGUAGAAAAUUGUCAUGGCGGGGGGGGCCGGGACGGCCCACGGGGCGUUUUGUCCGCCCCCCCCGAGGUGAGGGUGCCAGGGCUGCAUAAACGGAAUCUCCGC